GUUCGUUCAGCUAUCGUUGUGUGCCGUGUGACCGGAGCCUUAAGGUAAAUUUAAAAUUAUGAGUGCUGAAAACAGUCAAAGUGCUAUGCUCAUUUCCAUAACAGCUACUCUCAUUUUAUAGGCGUGACAUCUGCAAAUAUAAGAUUGUUAAAAAGUUGUAUGCAUAAUUAAAUACACCUAUUAGAGCCCCUCACAAAGGUAUCCCAAGUGUGAUUAAUGCAGUGCAUAACUGAGUGACUCAUUUAAUUACCCCACUGGGUCUCCACCAACACAUGAUUGAAUUUCUCAAUUAUUUCUUCAGCUAAAGUGAUUAUAAUGAGACCAAUGCAGACAGGCUGUUAUGUGACUAAA